ensembl:lncRNA
GCCCGUUCACCUACCGUUGGAACCGCGACGCCCCGUUCCCUGGCCGCGGCCGCUUCUCCAGGACCCGCGGCGGCGGCAAGAGGGCGAGAACUGAGGCCCCGAGAGGCUCCGCGGCCGGCGAGCUUCUUCCUGCGGCGGCCGCUGGAGGGAGGCUGAAGCGACGGCUGUAGCGCGGGGCCAGCCCGGUAAGCGACCCCCGGAUGCCCCCGGCGGUGGCUGCGGCGGAGACGCGGAAGAGGGGGCGGGAGCGGCGACGGUGGCAACGGCUGAGGCGCAGAACCUCCCUAACGGCGAGCGGGAGGAGAGCGGAGGGCGGAGGGCGGAGAGCGGGCGGGGGCCCGGCCGGACGUGACGUGGCGUGGGAGGGGCGGGGCGGGGAGGGGGCGGGCCCGCGGGAGGGGGCGGGGCGCGCGGGCGCGGGGCAAGGGGCCCCAGACCCCCUAGCCUCUGACCUGCAGCUUGUGGGUUUUUUGCGCUGCCGUGCUUCUCCCACGCCAAAUUUGGGCCUCUGAAUUGGGGUGCCGGAAGCCGGGCCGGGCCUGAGGGAGAUGUCUGAGGGUCCUCAGUCUGGGGAGGUUGGACAGAAGAUAGAGGAAACUGGGGAGGGGACGUAGGAGGGAUAAAAAGCAAGCCGGAAGACCGAGGUCGCUCCUGGACUCUGAGGGGGCCGUGCUCCCCUGCAGAAGGCCAGAAAAACCCGGGUGCCCUUAUCCGGAUGAGGAGCACGGAGCCCUUAACAGAAAACCGCCCCGCAGACCGAAGCGGUGACUCACGUCCCCAUUCCCAGCGAUGGGCGUUAGAUCGGGGGCCCUGGCCGCCCCGCACCCUUCGUCUUCAGCUAAGGACAUGACCUAGGCUCCAGAGAGAACACAGAUGCCUCCGUGCCGAAGGCGUCUGGGAAUAUGAAAGUCGAUAGGCUACGUGCUUACAGGGAGCUUCCGAUGCUAAACCCGAGUCUCAGAGGCAGAUCGGGGAGUUCCGAGGGAGGCUGUACUUGGAUAGCCGCCCCCGCGCGCUCUCAGAGGGAGAAUCAAAGGUCACAAGCAUUUAUGAGCUUGUUUUAUAGAAGAAAAAGAAUGCCUUCAAGGAUCACCAGGAAGCAAGUCAAUUGAGAAUCAGAGGAAGAGAGGAAGAAGUAGAGAUUUGAAGAAAGGUGCUGUCAUUCUCUCUUGGGUCACUUACCCUGGGGAAAGCCAACUGCAUGUCAUGAGGCAGCCCUGUAGAGAGACUCACUUGGUGAGAAUUGAGGCUGCCAACAAUGUGAGUGAGCUUGGAAGUGGAUUCCCUCAUCCUCACCCCAGUCAAAUCUACAGAUGAGACUCCAGCCUCCGCCAAAGCCUGACUACAAUCUCCUGAGAUACCUUGAGCCAGAAGUGCCCAACUAAGGCAUACCCAGAUUCCUGACUCACAGAAACCGUGCUAUAAUAAAUAUCUAUUGUUUUAAGCCACUAAGUAUUGGGGUAAUUUGCCAUGUGGCAAUAGAAAACUAACACAGAUUUUGGAACCUGGAAGUGAGGUACAGUAAAAAAUAACUUAAAAUGUGAUUGUUGCUUUGAAAGAAGACGAUGACUUUGAGAAGAGUUUUAGUGAAUGUGAUACUGAACCUCUUAACCUCAAGUGUGUGCCCUAUGCACAGUAAGCCAAUCACUGAG